GUCAUACGUAUUUUCACCAAAAGGGUGGUUUUGUAAUUGGAAAAGUAUUUCAUUGGAGUGACCAUUGGCAGCGCCAAAUGACAGAGGCGCAAAACCAACCACUGAAACUCCCCACAGCUCUCUUUAAUCACCGUUGCCUCAGACUUAAGCAAAUGAUAUUUGCAAAUAACUUACGCAACAAAAUAUAAAUAGUGAUCUCAAAGCAUCCUAUUUGUGCAAAUCGUCACUGCUUCGGUCCAACCGGGUAGAUCCAAUUACGGUUUUGAGGCUCAGAUCUGCGUUAUAAGUCGAGCAAAAGUUAAUCCGACAACGCCAUGGCUGCAAAAAACCACCAGAAGGGGGCAUGCCCUGCCAAGAUACGAGUCAAAUCAUCUCAAAUGCCCAAUUGCUAAGCUCAGAAGGGAAUAGAAGAUUGACAAAAAAACAUCACCGCCUCUUUGAAGCAGUCAAUCAUACACAACAAGUUAAAUACUUUGAAAAAACUGGAUAUACCUUAAAUAGCAAGGUGAAAACUGGCCAUUCCAUGAAUUUUUUACAGGGUUGUUGGAAUUGUUACAGUAAUGGAGAAAUCAUUGGCUAAUACAGAGACAGGCAACCACCCUUUCACAAAAAACCCUAAAUUCUCCGAAGCCUCAUUCUCGUUCUCCUGAGCUUUCGUUUUGUUACAUCUCCAUAACAGUUCUUUUUAUACUAUCCUGAAAGCUGUAAAUAUAAAUUAUUUCUUGUAUAUAUUUCUCUUUCUUUCUUUAGGAAAGAGGAGUGAGUCAUUAGUGAAAGCUUUCGGGUAAGCUCAGAUUAAUGGGGCAAAACCAAGGAGAAGAGUGAAAACCAAAAUCCAAACUCAAGUAAUGGGGUAGGCUCAGAUUCGCCUUUCCUCAGACAGAAACCAAAAGAGCUUUGGUAAAACUGCCAUGAGAGGAGUGAGUCAUUAGUCAAAGCUUUCGGGUAAGCUCAGAUUAAUGGGGCAAAACCAAGGAGAAGAGUGAAAACCAAAAUCCAAACUCAAGUAAUGGGGUAGGCUCAGAUUCGCCUUUCCUCAGACAGAAACCAAAAGAGCUUUGGUAAAACUGCCAUGGCUGCAAGCAUCAGUUAGCCUUACAAGACACAAAAGAAGGCACCAAAAAGUGGAAUAUUUUCCAAUAUCUCACAGACCCAUCUGAGCUGCCAUGCCAAGUUACAAUUUUUUUCCAGCUCAAUAGAAAUAUGUCGACUCAUCUUUCACAGAAGAACAAAAUCAUCAUAGCCUAUUUGCAUCACAUAAAACAGAAGGCGUAACAAGAAAGGAAAAUAAAGAGGUUAUAUUUAUUCUCACCAAAAGGCUGGUUUUGGAAUGGGAAAUUCAUUUGAGUGAUCAUCGGAAUCAGAGAAUGACAGAGGGACAAAACCAUCAAUUGAAACUCCCCACAGCCCUCUGCUUUCACAGCAGCCUCAGACUUAAACUAAUGAGAUUUUGUUAUUUUCAUAUGAGGCUCACAUCUCACUAUGAUAAGGCAUUGAGUUUCUCAAAACCGCCAUGGCUGCAAUCUCCUCCGGAUUGCCCAGCCAAGAUACGAGUUUAAUACCAUCUCAAUGCAAAUCAAUAAUGCCAUUUGCCAAGAAUCAUACCAUCACUGCCUCAAAAUGUUCACUUUUACCUUUAUGUUUAGUAUGAUCCGCGCUGUUUGGGUGUUAACACAGCCACAUAGCAGAGAGAACAAAAGAACGGUAGCAGCAACAACAACAGCAGAUCAACAACAACAUGCAUAUCUCGAAGCUAGAUUUACCGAAAAAAAUAAGCACUGUUAAUUGCUUCUAGCGAGAAAUCAUGGGCUUAACAGCAAAACUGAACGAAUGCAUAAAUAAAUAAAUAAAUAAAUCCUAUUUCUCAUUGAUGCCUCAUUCUAUGAGAUGACUUUCUCUAUGUUUGGGCAUUGAGGGAUCAGAUUUACUGUAUUUGAACAAAGCAAAAGAGAAGGCGACGCCGCCAUAGCUGCAGACACCAGUUUGCUAUGUAAAAGACAUAGUGGUUCGCCUUACCAAGAUACGGGUAGAGUAUCUUCUCAAUGCCAUGCCCAGAACAAUAACUGCCUCUUUU
rnacentral:lncRNA from 1 species